GGCUGUCGAAGGAUAUUGACCUGAAUUCACAGUAC
rfam:Flavobacteria bacterium BBFL7 scf_1099451317783 genomic scaffold, whole genome shotgun sequence.